CCUACGGGUGGCAGCAGUGGGGAAUAUUGCACAAUGGGGGAAACCCUGAUGCAGCGACGCCGCGUGAGUGAAGAAGUAAUUCGUUACGUAAAGCUCUAUCAGCAGGGCAGAAAAUGACGGUACCUGAGUAAGAAGCCCCGGCUAACUACGUGCCAGCAGCCGCGGUAAUACGUAGGGGGCAAGCGUUAUCCGGAUUUACUGGGUGUAAAGGGGGCGUAGACGGUGCGCAAAGUCUGGUGUGAAAUGCCGAAGCUUACCUUCGGAACUGCUUUGGAGACGGGCGAACUAGAGUGCGGGAGGGGUAAGCGGAAUUCCUAGUGGAGCGGUGAAAUGCGUAGAUAUUAGGAGGAACACCGGUGGCGAAGGCGGCUUACUGGACCGUAACUGACGUUGAGGCUCGAAAGCGUGGGGAGCAAACAGGAUUAGAUACCCCUGUAGUC
rnacentral:rRNA from 1 species